CCUCCCGGCCCCAGGCCUCGAGGCCUCCCCAUUCCCGCCGACCUCCUCCUUCCCAGCGGGGCCAGAAUAGGAGCGCCGCGUCCUGGGAUCCCCUCCUCCCGCGGACGGGCGACAGAGACCCGGAUGGUGGCAGCACGGCCGCUUCCUUUCUUUCCCUCAGCUCCCCGGCCAGGGGCCCACGGAGAGAUGCGCCUCUGACUUGGGCCCGCCCGGGUCACUCCCUCCAUCCAGGCCAUGUCCCCAGUCCCAGCCCCCUGAAGCCUCCCCAUUCAGGCCCGAGGCCACUUUUCCCGGGAAGCGCCGCUCCCCGGGCUCCAACUCCACUUCUUUUCUCACCAAGUGGGAUUGGAUUCCCGGGCAGCGCAACCGAACGCGCGGCAGGAGAUGCAAGCCAAGGCCAGAGGAAGUUAGCCAAACAACUGAUAUUUAACCAAGCAAGAGGAUGCUGAAAAAGGAGAGUGCUGCCAGGCUAGGAGAGAAGCCAUGAGAACCCCCCAACCAGGGCACCUGCUGCUGAAGGUUCUACUGGUUUCUACACUGGAUUAUGAUGAUCUAUGUCGUUGGAGCGCCUGGAAAAUGGAGGAGAUUACUUGGGGA